rnacentral:rRNA from 1 species
CCUACGGGUGGCAGCAGUGGGGAAUAUUGGACAAUGGGCGAAAGCCUGAUCCAGCCAUGCCGCGUGUGUGAAGAAGGCCUUCGGGUUGUAAAGCACUUUCAGUGGGGAAGAAAGCCUUGGGGCUAAUACCCUCGAGGAAGGACAUCACCCACAGAAGAAGCACCGGCUAACUCCGUGCCAGCAGCCGCGGUAAUACGGAGGGUGCGAGCGUUGAAUCGGAAUUACUGGGCGUAAAGCGCGCGUAGGCGGUCUGAUAAGCCGGUUGUGAAAGCCCCGGGCUCAACCUGGGAACGGCAUCCGGAACUGUCAGGCUAGAGUGCAGGAGAGGAAGGUAGAAUUCCCGGUGUAGCGGUGAAAUGCGUAGAGAUCGGGAGGAAUACCAGUGGCGAAGGCGGCCUUCUGGACUGACACUGACGCUGAGGUGCGAAAGCGUGGGUAGCAAACAGGAUUAGAUACCCUAGUAGUC